rnacentral:lncRNA from 1 species
UAUCUCUUUCCAGUUAUGGUCAUGGUGCUUACGUAGGAUCUCAGCUACACUGAAGUACAUGCUUAAAGCUUGACUGUGGACUCUGCAGAGGACUGUCAGUGCACUUCAGUGGUGCGCAGAGACAGCUAGCAAGGACUAGACUUGGUUCAGAAGAGUAUGGCCUCACGUUAGAUGAAGGCAGAAUCAUGGGAUGGCUCUGUCUCUACCUCAUACAGGUUCCACGUUAAGCGCUACGUUAGGCGUUCAAGAUUGCAAACUCCUUUUCCACAGCUAUCUAACCCUGGAAGGCUUCACUGAGCUUCUCCUUGCGUUACUGGAAAAUCCUUAGGAUCUCAGCUUAAUCAGUGGUUCUGGAAUUGGACGUGUGCAUUUCCAGUCCUGCAGUAUAUGGGGAAUACACUGGAAAAUAUCAUGUGCGUUACAUCUGAUCACUGUGGAACUAUUUUCCUGGAAUGGAAAAUACCAGGAAGUUGCUCAAAAGCUAGAGCCGUAACUAAUCUUAAUUCCUUUAUGUAGCAUACCUUAACUUUUUAGAUU